rnacentral:rRNA from 1 species
CAGCCGCCGCGGUAAUACGUAGGGUGCAAGCGUUAAUCGGAAUUACUGGGCGUAAAGCGUGCGCAGGCGGUUAUAUAAGACAAAUGUGAAAUCCCCGGGCUCAACCUGGGAACUGCAUAUGUGACUGUAUAGCUAGAGUGUGGCAGAGGGGGAUGGAAUUCCGCGUGUAGCAGUGAAAUGCGUAGAUAUGCGGAGGAACACCGAUGGCGAAGGCAAUCCCCUGGGCCUGCACUGACGCUCAUGCACGAAAGCGUGGGGAGCAAACAGGAUUAGAUACCCUGGUAGUCCACGCCCUAAACGAUGUCAACUGGUUGUUGGGUCUUCACUGACUCAGUAACGAAGCUAACGCGUGAAGUUGACCGCCUGGGGAGUACGGCCGCAUGGUUGAAACUCAAAUGAAUUGACGG